rnacentral:rRNA from 1 species
GUCUUUUGAUUGAGGACUGGAAUGAAUGGUUAAAUGAGAUAUAUACUUUUUUUAUCUUUUUUAGGGGAAUUUAAAUUUUUUGUUAAAAAGCAGAAAUAAUAUUAAGGGACGAGAAGACCCUAUAGAACUUUAUUAAUAAUGGUGUAAUAUAUAUUUAUAAAAUGGUUUUGUAUUAUGUUUUUAAUAAUUUGAUUGGGGUGAUUGAAAAAAUAUAAUAACUUUUUUUGUUUAUAUACAUAUAUAUAUGUAUUUUUGAUCCAAAUGUUUUUGAUUAUAAGAUUAAGUUACCUUAGGGAUAACAGCGUUAUUUUUUUGUAGAGUUCAUAUCGAAAAAAGAGUUUGCGACCUCGAUGUUGGAUUAAAAUUAGUUUUAGGUGAAGUAGUUUUUGACUGAGCUCU